rnacentral:rRNA from 1 species
UUGACCUCGGAUCAGGUAGGGAUACCCGCUGAACUUAAGCAACCAACAGGGAUUGCCUCAGUAACGGCGAGUGAAGCGGCAAAAGCUCAAAUUUUAAAGCUGACAUCUUCGGUGUUCGCGUUGUAAUUUUGUGAGGCAUCUCCGGGUAGGGCGCCGGCCUAAGUUCCUUGGAACAGGACGUCACAGAGGGUGAGAAUCCCGUGCUUGGCUGGCUGUCCCCGUCCAUGUGAGGUGUCUUCGACGAGUCGAGUUGUUUGGGAAUGCAGCUCAAAAUGGGUGGUAAAUUUCAUCUAAAGCUAAAUAUUGGUGGGAGACCGAUAGCGCACAAGUAGAGUGAUCGAAAGAUGAAAAGCACUUUGAAAAUAGAGUUAAAAAGUACGUGAAAUUGUUGAAAGGGAAGCGCUUGAGACCAGACUUCGGUAAGGGGUGAUCAGCCGUCCUUCUGGGCGGUGCACUUGCCCCCCUCCGGGCCAGCAUCGGUUGAGGCGGUGGGAUAAAGGUCCCGGGAAUGUGGCUCCUUCACGGGAGUGUUAUAGCCCGGGUGAAUGCCGCCAGCUUCGACCGAGGACCGCACCCGCAAGGGUUAGGAUGCUUGGCAUAAUGGUCUUCAGCGA